GAUGAAGAACGUAGCGAAAUGCGAUACGUAAUGUGAAUUGCAAAUUCAGUGAAUCAUCGAGUCUUUGAACGCACAUUGCGCCCCCUGGUAUUCCGGGGGGCAUGCCUGUCCGAGCGUCAUUGCUGCCCUCAAGCACGGCUUGUGUGUUGGGCCCCGUCCUCCGAUCCCGGGGGACGGGCCCGAAAGGCAGCGGCGGCACUGCGUCCGGUCCUCGAGCGUAUGGGGCUUUGUCACCCGCUCUGUAGGCCCGGCCGGCGCUUGCCGAUCAACCCAAAUUUUUAUCCAGGUUGACCUCGGAUCAGGUAGGGAUACCCGCUGAACGUAAGCAUAUCAAUAAGCGGAGGA
rnacentral:misc_RNA from 1 species